AAAACAAAUCAUGUGCAUUCAACUCAUUUCAUCAACAACAUAUAAGUAUUUGUCCAUGCAAAAAAAUUACAACAAAACACAGAAUGCUUGGGUGUUACUAUGUGGUUGCAUGUUUUUAACAUGUGCUGCAGUAGUGGGUGUUUUGUGUGAUUUCUAGGGCGUUGCUAAGGUGUUCUGGAUGUUUUAACAUGUUGCACUGCACUAGAGUGUGUUUAGAGUGGUUUCUAAGGCAUUACUAAGAUGUUUCUAAAUUUGCAACCCUAGUUUUGGGUGGUUUCUAGGGCGUUGCUAUGUGGUUGUUAAGGUGUUUUUAGUAUGUUGUGCUGCAGUAGUGGGUGUUUUUGGUAGUUUCUAGGGCAUUGCUAAGGUGUUCUGGGUGUCUUUAAUGUUGCACUGCAGCA
ensembl:lncRNA